CGACGUGAGCAAUCUGCCUUUAAGAGGGGGGUAACAGUCGGAAACGGCUGCUAAUACCGCAUAAAGCAUCAAAUUCGCAUGUUUUUGAUGCCAAAGGAGCAAUCCGCUUUUAGAUGAGCUCGCGUCUGAUUAGCUGGUUGGCGGGGUAACGGCCCACCAAGGCGACGAUCAGUAGCCGGACUGAGAGGUUGAACGGCCACAUUGGGACUGAGACACGGCCCAG
rnacentral:rRNA from 1 species